rnacentral:rRNA from 1 species
AACGAACGCUGGCGGCAGGCUUAACACAUGCAAGUCGAACGCCCCGCAAGGGGAGUGGCAGACGGGUGAGUAACGCGUGGGAAUCUACCCAGUUCUACGGAAUAACCCAGGGAAACUUGGACUAAUACCGUAUACGCCCUACGGGGGAAAGAUUUAUCGGAAUUGGAUGAGCCCGCGUUGGAUUAGCUAGUUGGUGGGGUAAUGGCCUACCAAGGCGACGAUCCAUAGCUGGUCUGAGAGGAUGAUCAGCCACACUGGGACUGAGACACGGCCCAGACUCCUACGGGAGGCAGCAGUGGGGAAUAUUGGACAAUGGGCGCAAGCCUGAUCCAGCCAUGCCGCGUGAGUGAUGAAGGCCUUAGGGUUGUAAAGCUCUUUCAGUGGGGACGAUAAUGACGGUACCCACAGAAGAAGCCCCGGCUAACUUCGUGCCAGCCGCCGCAGUAA